rnacentral:rRNA from 1 species
GAUGAACGCUGGCGGCGUGCUUAACACAUGCAAGUCGAGCGAGAAGUUUUGAAAAGAUUCUUCGGAUGAAAUUUAAAAUGGAAAGCGGCGGACGGGUGAGUAACGCGUAGGCAACCUGCCCCAUACAAAGGGAUAGCAUUUGGAAACGAAUAUUAAUACCUUAUGAAACUUAACUAGUGCAUGCUAGGUAGGUCAAAGAUUUAUCGGUAUGGGAUGGGCCUGCGUCUGAUUAGCUAGUUGGUGAGGUAACGGCUCACCAAGGCGACGAUCAGUAGCCGACCUGAGAGGGUGAACGGCCACAUUGGAACUGAGACACGGUCCAAACUCCUACGGGAGGCAGCAGUGGGGAAUAUUGCACAAUGGGGGAAACCCUGAUGCAGCAACGCCGCGUGAACGAUGAAGGCCUUUGGGUCGUAAAGUUCUGUUUCUAGGUGAUGAAAAG